UAUUUCACAACUCAAUUUUUGUUUUUCACUAUUUUUCUUCCAAGCAAGCAUUCAUUUUCAUUUUUUCUAUUUUUGUUCUUUUCUUUCACAUCAUAUUUACAAAACAGAUGUUUCUUUUCUAUAUUUUUAUUUUCAAUGCUUGCUCGGUUUUUCAUUUUUUUUUCCAAGAGUUGUGGUACUUACCGAUUCUCCCCAACUUAUUUCUUACUCACCCUAAGUGAAUGCUCUUAACUUUUUACGGCAAAAGAACAAUAAUCAAGAUUUUCCGGGUUGUAAAAAAAAGAUUUUUGAAAUCUCGCUUUAUUUCAAGCUGAGAUUCAACUGUUUAAGCUCAAAGGGGUUAACGAAUACUCUCUCUGCUCACAGGUAAG
rnacentral:lncRNA from 1 species